UUAAGUUAUUAAGGGCGCACGGUGGAUGCCUUGGCACUAGAAGCCGAUGAAGGACGUUACUAACGACGAUAUGCUUUGGGGAGCUGUAAGUAAGCUUUGAUCCAGAGAUUUCCGAAUGGGGAAACCCAGCAUGAGUUAUGUCAUGUUAUCGAUAUGUGAAUACAUAGCAUAUCAGAAGGCACACCCGGAGAACUGAAACAUCUUAGUACCCGGAGGAAGAGAAAGAAAAUUCGAUUCCCUUAGUAGCGGCGAGCGAAACGGGAAGAGCCCAAACCAACAAGCUUGCUUGUUGGGGUUGUAGGACACUCUAUACGGAGUUACAAAGGACGACAUUAGACGAAUCAUCUGGAAAGAUGAAUCAAAGAAGGUAAUAAUCCUGUAGUCGAAAAUGUUGUCUCUCUUGAGUGGAUCCUGAGUACGACGGAGCACGUGAAAUUCCGUCAGAAUCUGGGAGGACCAUCUCCUAAGGCUAAAUACUCUCUAGUGACCGAUAGUGAACCAGUACCGUGAGGGAAAGGUGAAAAGCACCCCGGAAGGGGAGUGAAAUAGAACCUGAAACCGUGUGCUUACAAGUAGUCAGAGCCCGUUAAUGGGUGAUGGCGUGCCUUUUGUAGAAUGAACCGGCGAGUUACGAUUUGAUGCAAGGUUAAGCAGUAAAUGUGGAGCCGUAGCGAAAGCGAGUCUGAAUAGGGCGUUUAGUAUUUGGUCGUAGACCCGAAACCAGGUGAUCUACCCUUGGUCAGGUUGAAGUUCAGGUAACACUGAAUGGAGGACCGAACCGACUUACGUUGAAAAGUGAGCGGAUGAACUGAGGGUAGCGGAGAAAUUCCAAUCGAACCUGGAGAUAGCUGGUUCUCUCCGAAAUAGCUUUAGGGCUAGCCUCAAGUGAUGAUUAUUGGAGGUAGAGCACUGUUUGGACGAGGGGCCCCUCUCGGGUUACCGAAUUCAGACAAACUCCGAAUGCCAAUUAAUUUAACUUGGGAGUCAGAACAUGGGUGAUAAGGUCCGUGUUCGAAAGGGAAACAGCCCAGACCACCAGCUAAGGUCCCAAAAUAUAUGUUAAGUGGAAAAGGAUGUGGCGUUGCCCAGACAACUAGGAUGUUGGCUUAGAAGCAGCCAUCAUUUAAAGAGUGCGUAAUAGCUCACUAGUCGAGUGACACUGCGCCGAAAAUGUACCGGGGCUAAACAUAUUACCGAAGCUGUGGAUUGUCCUUUGGACAAUGGUAGGAGAGCGUUCUAAGGGCGUUGAAGCAUGAUCGUAAGGACAUGUGGAGCGCUUAGAAGUGAGAAUGCCGGUGUGAGUAGCGAAAGACGGGUGAGAAUCCCGUCCACCGAUUGACUAAGGUUUCCAGAGGAAGGCUCGUCCGCUCUGGGUUAGUCGGGUCCUAAGCUGAGGCCGACAGGCGUAGGCGAUGGAUAACAGGUUGAUAUUCCUGUACCACCUAUAAUCGUUUUAAUCGAUGGGGGGACGCAGUAGGAUAGGCGAAGCGUGCGAUUGGAUUGCACGUCUAAGCAGUAAGGCUGAGUAUUAGGCAAAUCCGGUACUCGUUAAGGCUGAGCUGUGAUGGGGAGAAGACAUUGUGUCUUCGAGUCGUUGAUUUCACACUGCCGAGAAAAGCCUCUAGAUAGAAAAUAGGUGCCCGUACCGCAAACCGACACAGGUAGUCAAGAUGAGAAUUCUAAGGUGAGCGAGCGAACUCUCGUUAAGGAACUCGGCAAAAUGACCCCGUAACUUCGGGAGAAGGGGUGCUCUUUAGGGUUAACGCCCAGAAGAGCCGCAGUGAAUAGGCCCAAGCGACUGUUUAUCAAAAACACAGGUCUCUGCUAAACCGUAAGGUGAUGUAUAGGGGCUGACGCCUGCCCGGUGCUGGAAGGUUAAGAGGAGUGGUUAGCUUCUGCGAAGCUACGAAUCGAAGCCCCAGUAAACGGCGGCCGUAACUAUAACGGUCCUAAGGUAGCGAAAUUCCUUGUCGGGUAAGUUCCGACCCGCACGAAAGGCGUAACGAUUUGGGCACUGUCUCAACGAGAGACUCGGUGAAAUCAUAGUACCUGUGAAGAUGCAGGUUACCCGCGACAGGACGGAAAGACCCCGUGGAGCUUUACUGUAGCCUGAUAUUGAAAUUCGGCACAGCUUGUACAGGAUAGGUAGGAGCCUUUGAAACGUGAGCGCUAGCUUACGUGGAGGCGCUGGUGGGAUACUACCCUAGCUGUGUUGGCUUUCUAACCCGCACCACUUAUCGUGGUGGGAGACAGUGUCAGGCGGGCAGUUUGACUGGGGCGGUCGCCUCCUAAAAGGUAACGGAGGCGCUCAAAGGUUCCCUCAGAAUGGUUGGAAAUCAUUCAUAGAGUGUAAAGGCAUAAGGGAGCUUGACUGCGAGACCUACAAGUCGAGCAGGGUCGAAAGACGGACUUAGUGAUCCGGUGGUUCCGCAUGGAAGGGCCAUCGCUCAACGGAUAAAAGCUACCCCGGGGAUAACAGGCUUAUCUCCCCCAAGAGUUCACAUCGACGGGGAGGUUUGGCACCUCGAUGUCGGCUCAUCGCAUCCUGGGGCUGUAGUCGGUCCCAAGGGUUGGGCUGUUCGCCCAUUAAAGCGGUACGCGAGCUGGGUUCAGAACGUCGUGAGACAGUUCGGUCCCUAUCCGUCGUGGGCGUAGGAAAUUUGAGAGGAGCUGUCCUUAGUACGAGAGGACCGGGAUGGACAUACCUCUGGUGUACCAGUUGUCGUGCCAACGGCAUAGCUGGGUAGCUAUGUGUGGACGGGAUAAGUGCUGAAAGCAUCUAAGCAUGAAGCCCCCCUCAAGAUGAGAUUUCCCAACUUCGGUUAUAAGAUCCCUCAAAGAUGAUGAGGUUAAUAGGUUCGAGGUGGAAGCAUGGUGACAUGUGGAGCUGACGAAUACUAAUCGAUCGAAGACUUAAUCAA
rnacentral:rRNA from 1 species